GUUGAUGCUGGGAGAAAGGAGAGUAGGAAUCAAAGGGAAGGAAAUAUCAUGCCAUAUCAUAUAUCAUAUCAUAUCAUAUCAUAUCAUAUCAUAUCAUAUCAUAACACACUUAGAAUUGGUCAUACUGCAUUUAAUAUUACACUGAAUUGGCAAUCACUGUACUGGGGAGUGAAUACACUGUAGACAACAAGAAACAGCUGAGUGUGUAUUACUUCACUGUAUGAAAUACAACAAUGAGAGACACCGUCUCAUUCAGUCAAUGAAGAAAGUCAAUCACUACGACUUCUCUUUAUCAGGUUUAUUAGGGAAAACAAGUAAAUUAUAUAAAAGAAUAUAAUCUUUUGAUUGUUUUGUUUGUUUUUAUGUUUAUUUCUAUACUAUAUAUAAGCAAAUAUCCUGAUCCAUGCUUUAUUCCAGUUGGUGGCGGUAAUGCGCCAUUAAAUUAGGUUGCCAACCGCCAAUAAACACUGAAGAAGAAGAAUAACUAAGCAGAUAGAAAGAGAAAGCGUUGCUAGUUGGAUUUGAUCCAUUUUAUGUCCUAGAAAACAUUUGUACAGGUAGGCUAUAACUUUAGCACAGACUCUACUAAUUGUAACACUCGCGGACAUUGUUUUUGUAUAUUAAAUCCAAUUCGUCUGAGAGAUAUGAGAAUUAAUUGCUGACAAGCGACAGGCAUAAAGCACAGAAAAAAAUAAGCGUUUCAAAUACUUAUAAAUGUUAUUUUAUAGUGGACAAGACCGCAAGUCACACUGAACAGCAGAUUGUUGUCUCAAGCCAGUGCUGAUCAAUGACAGUUUAGCUGCAGUAUGAGAGAGAAGAGAGGAAAGAUGAGUCUCUCACAGAAACAGAGUGUAAGAUCAGGAUCACAUGUAUCUGUGAAGAGUGACCAGUCAAAGGAUGAUGACAUACUGAACUUCAGUGAGAAAAAAACAUCUAUCAAAAGGUAUUUAUUAUCUUUGACAUUAUAAUGUUGUGUUGGCUUAUUUCUCCACUAAGAUGCUUGUGAUAGAAAUGAAUGAAAUAAAACAAUAAAUCACUGAUUUCCUCUUUAUUGA
ensembl:lncRNA